CAACAGCUGUUGGAAGCAGUACUCGAAUUCGCAGGCACGCUGGGAAUUGCGUGAACCGGAGAGAUUUUCUCUCAUUCCUGCAGACGAGGGAGACAGUUUCUCGAUCUCAACCUGCACUGGAACAGAGUAAGUGCUGGUGAUGGAUUCAGACUGGCCGUCACUGGCCAUCUCCCGCUGACAGGGCUUCCCGAAGGGAAGUUUCAGUCCCGCACUGUCGUCCUUUGUCCGGGUUCACAGCAUUGUUGUUUCGGCAAAAUUUACCUAUGUGCAGAAUGAGGUGAGAAUGGCAGAGAAAGUGUUAAGAUGUUAAUGAAUGGAGAGGCGACGGUGACCGAGGUAAUAGAAAAAUAUCCAUUUUGAGAGCAAAAUCAAACAGAUAUUAACACACGGAGGGCAUCAAAAUGAUAGAGACCUGGAUGACCCCUGCUCAGUAAAAACAUAUUUUGAGGGAUACGUUGACGGGUUGCGGUAGAAAUAGGAAAUCUUUGCGGUCUCUUUAAACUACUUCCUGGGCGGACAAAGAUUUAAAGGGCUGUUAGAAACAGUGCUCGAUUCGGAAACACACUGGGAAUUGGGUGAAUGCGAGGAGAUUGGCUCUUAUUCCUGUAGAAGUGGGAAGCAGUCGCCUCGAACCCAGCCUGGACUGGAACAGAGGAUACCUAGGCGGGCUGCGGAAGAGAUAAAGGAGUUUUCGCGCCUUUUUGAAACCAUUUCCUGGAUUGCAACAGCUAUUGGAAACAGCGCUCGAUUCGCAGACACGCUGGGAACUGAGUGAACCGAAGAGAUUUUCUCUCAUUCCUGCAGACGAGGGAGACAGUUUCUCGAUCUCAACCUGGACUGGAACAGAGUAAGUGCUGGUGAUGGAUUCAGACUGGCCGUCACUGGCCAUCUCCCGCUGACAGGGCUUCCCGAAGGAGGUUUCAGUCCCGCACUGUCGUCCUUUGUCGAGGUUCACAGCAUUGUUGUUUCGGCAAAAUUUACCUAUGAGCAGAAUGAGGACCAUCUCACACUCGCAUAAAGGAAAUGGUUGCAUGACACAUCAUGGAUCUCUCAGAGGCAUUAAUCAUCAACAUUUUCAAACUUGCUUCAGGUAACAUGUACAACCUGAGGAAUUCUUGAAUCUUUAAGACACAUCAUGCAUUAUUCAAACACAUUGAGAAAAUGCUGACCUGACGAUAAUUCUGAAUUUCAUUUCUGUGACAAUGUACCCAACACCAGUGUCAGACAACACAUGUGCUGGGUGUAAAUGCCAAGCAUCUCUCACUUUAACACACUGUAGCUGUGAAGAACUUUGCUGAUCUUGUUUUAUUUUUCUCUCUCCCAUUGGUUCUACUUGACUUCUGAACAUUUCCAGUAUUUCUAUUUUAUUUUAUGGCAUUCAGAAAUGAUGCUUAACCAAUUUUUAUUCAAUAAGUUAGCUGUGCGCAGUUGACCUCAGUGACAAAAUAUGUUCUCUGCCCUUGUUCAGGUAGCUGGACACAAUUUUUUCUAUUCACUCACAGUAACCACUGUUUCUUGCAGCAAUAUUUUUUCUCUGAGAAUCUAUCAAAUUCACACACAUGAUCCUGUCACUGCCAAGAGUACAAUUGGAGAAGAGGGUUGGAGCAGGGAUUGUACUUCAACCAACCUUGUUGAUCAUUGUGCCAGUGGAUCUUUGACCAGCAGGUGUCUUGUCCAGAUUGAGGCUCAUUUCUAGUGCCCAGCCUGGCAUCAGGUGGAGCUCAGCCCAACAUGCAUGGGAAAAUGGUCCAUUGAUGGCUGGCUCCAGGGUGUAGUGAAUAUAGCCCUUGAAAUUCAGUACCACUUACACAUUACUCCAUGUACUAUGGUGCUUCAAGGUAAACUGGUUGAUCAUGGUUUACCAUCCUAGAUUUUCAGUAUCUACAGUACUUUACUUUUGAAUUUAAGUUUAUUUUCCAGUCUUCCAUUUAACUUUGGUGUGCAGAGGGGCUCUGUAUGCCAGACCUGGUACUCUCACUAAUGCUGCUGCAGGACAAACCGUGAUGUUCCCCAUAGAGUACCAAAGCAAUGAAGAUCAGUACGAUGUUACCUUUAGAUUAACAUUUCCACAGCUCUUUAAAAUUUUAAUAUGGAAAUCCAAUAAUCCAGACAAUCUGCAUAAUGUACAUCCAGAAUAUAAACACAGGGCUACAAUCAAAAAUGGAUCGGUGGUGUUAUAUGAUAUACAAGUCACCGACAGUGGAGAGUAUCAAAUACGAACUGACUGCUAUGGGGUAGAACUGAAAAACCAUGACCAAAGUACUUUCAUGGUUCAAGUCUUUGAACCAGUUUCUCAACCUGUAGCAAAGACCUUAAGUCAUGGUCAGAAUACAGCAAAUAUCACUUUGAAUUGCUCCGUCUCCAAUGGAAAUGCAGUCAUGAUUUACUGGGAAAAAAUAUCCUUAUCUGGAGUCAUCAUCGAGACGUAUAUGACCACAAUUCUUGUGAUAGACUGUACUACUGAAGAUGAACAACAUGAGUACAGGUGCAUUGCAAAAAAUCCCAUCAGUAAUGCAUCCAGCAGUGAGAUAUCUAUCAACUCGUGUAACACCAGAAAUCUGAACGAUAAAAGGAAUUAUCUUAUGAUCCUGAUUCCUUUGGUGAUGAUGGCAAUUUCAUUGUUUGCAUUUGCAAAAUACAUCUCUAAUUGAUGUCCGAAUGAGCAAUCCUAAUGCCUGAUGAUCUCCAAGAAUUGCCUGGAAACACUCGCAUUCCUGCACAAAAUUCAGCAACCCCUACUGGAAUGCCACAGACCAUACUUGUGAAUGACAGCUCAUUUUGUAGUGGUCACCAACCAGGGAUUGUGAUCGACCGGUUGAUCUUUGAGACUUUCCCAGUAGAUCUCGAGAAAAAUGAAGAAUAAAAACACAAAUACAUUAUGCCUGAUAAACCUUUUGAUGCAAAUAUAUAGUAACUUCUACUUUGAAAAAGGACCACUCAACAACCUCAUGCCCAAAAGGAACAACUUCAUCUCGCACGGUAAAAUGAUAUUCGCAUACAGAGGUUUUCACUAAUGCGCACCGGGCAGAAAAGACUGGAAGGAAAACCCCGCAACCCCGGAACCAAUCUCUCUUUACAAACAGCUUUACCAUGAUCCUAAUUGAUAUUAACUUAUCUUUAUAAUGCUCACAUUACAACAUUUUUCCCCCUUUAAAUUCCAACGUUCCCCAAAUGUAAAGAAAUGGGAAACAAAAACAGUGGUGUCAUUAGCUUGCGUACUCCUGAAACUUAUACUAGUGUCUCAGUAACAGUUUACCAAUAACAGGAAAGCUGAGAAGCUGAAAUCGGGAUUGGAGGCUCAGAGGACGUGGAUCGACAAGUGUUAAAGGACUUGUCACUCUGUGAAUAUUUUUCAUGACAGUUCAAUGAAUCCCUGGAUGUAAUGCAAACAGCUCAGUUUGUUGUAUUUGUCAGAAUGGCUUUCCAGGAUUUUACAACAAAUGAGGACUUCCUCACUCUUUUGCAAUUAAAGAAGAGAACGAGAGGUGAGGAUAUUUACAAAGAAUUUUUUAAAAAUAUCUGUGAAAAUGACAUUCUCAUUCAUAAACUAAUGGCAAUUACUACUGAUGGGGCCCCAGCAAAUCGUGGUGUGCGCAUUGGUUUUAUAGCACUGUGCCGUAAUGAUCCUGAUUUUCCCAACUUCCUGGAUUAUCACUGUGUGAUUCAUCAGCAAGACUUGGCUGGGAAGGUCGUGGACUAUUCUCAUGUGAUGACACUGGUGGUCAAACUGAUAAACUCGAUUUGAGCAAAAGUGCUUCAGCACCGCUUAUUCAAGGCAUUAUUGGAUGAGCUUGAUGGCGCUAUGGCCUGUUCGAUAGGCUAGUUACAGUGUUUUCAUGUGGUUGAAUUAAUUUGAAAGUUUGAUAAAAGCAUUUUAUGUAAUUAAGAUACAAUUAUCCCAAAUAAAAGGCCUCAAAUUGGAAGUACAAUCUGAGCUGUUUUUUUCUCUAAACGAUUUAGUAGGUUGAUCUUGUCUUUUAGUAAGGCCGAGGUAGAGGAUAUUGGGCUUAAAAAUGUUGGUGACCACUACUCUAUAGCAUCUUUGGCAGACCACAAGCAUGACCAACUGGUAGCUGACCCAUGCAAUGAAUUCCCAAGGCUUAAACUUGCAGGGAAACCAGGACACCUCAUAAGCACCUGAGUAUAAGUUGGAGAUGACAUGACCACCCACUCCACAAAGAGAAUAUAAGAAAUUGUCUUGAUUGUGACAGUGGUCACCCAAACACUGCACUGCUGCCCUGCGAGAUCCAUUUCUGUGAGCAUCACUGCUAUAUAUACUGCCUCCUUUGCAGACAUCCCACCCCGCAAAAAUUCAUUUCAGGGAGGUAGCACCCCCGCCCCCU